AUACGUAGGUGGCAAGCGUUGUCCGGAAUUAUUGGGCGUAAAGCGCGCGCAGGGGGUUCCUUAAGUCUGAUGUGAAAGCCCCCGGCUCAACCGGGGAGGGUCAUUGGAAACUGGGGAACUUGAGUGCAGAAGAGGAUAGUGGAAUUCCAAGUGUAGCGGUGAAAUGCGUAGUGAUUUGGAGGAACACCAGUGGCGAAGGCGACUUUCUGGGCUGUAACUGACCCUGAAGCGCGAAAGCGUGGGGAGCAAACAGGAUUAGAUCCCCUGGUUGUCCACGCCGUAAACGAUGAGUGCUUAGGUUUGGGGGGUUUCCGCCCCUCAGUGCUGCAGCUAACGCAUUAAGCACUCCGCCUGGGGAGUACGGUCGCAAGACUGAAACUCAAAGGAAUUGACGGGG
rnacentral:rRNA from 1 species